UGGGGAAUUUUGGACAAUGGGCGAAAGCCUGAUCCAGCAAUGCCGCGUGUGUGAAGAAGGCCUUCGGGUUGUAAAGCACUUUUGUCCGGAAAGAAAUCCUUGGCUCUAAUACAGUCGGGGGAUGACGGUACCGGAAGAAUAAGCACCGGCUAACUACGUGCCAGCAGCCGCGGUAAUACGUAGGGUGCAAGCGUUAAUCGGAAUUACUGGGCGUAAAGCGUGCGCAGGCGGUUUGCUAAGACCGAUGUGAAAUCCCCGGGCUCAACCUGGGAACUGCAUUGGUGACUGGCAGGCUAGAGUAUGGCAGAGGGGGGUAGAAUUCCACGUGUAGCAGUGAAAUGCGUAGAGAUGUGGAGGAAUACCGAUGGCGAAGGCAGCCCCCUGGGCCAAUACUGACGCUCAUGCACGAAAGCGUGGGGAGCAAACAGGAUUAGAUACCCUGGUAGUCCACGCCCUAAACGAUGUCAACUAGUUGUUGGGGAUUCAUUCCUUAGUAACGUAGCUAACGCGUGAAGUUGACCGCCUGGGGAGUACGGUCGCAAAGAUUAAAACUCAAAUGAAUUGACGGGGUCAUAGCUGUUUCCU
rnacentral:rRNA from 1 species